CGUAGGGUGCGAGCGUUAAUCGGAAUUACUGGGCGUAAAGCGUGCGCAGGCGGUUUUGUAAGACAGGCGUGAAAUCCCCGGGCUCAACCUGGGAACUGCGCUUGUGACUGCAAGGCUAGAGUACGGCAGAGGGGGGUGGAAUUCCACGUGUAGCAGUGAAAUGCGUAGAGAUGUGGAGGAACACCAAUGGCGAAGGCAGCCCCCUGGGUCGAUACUGACGCUCAUGCACGAAAGCGUGGGUAGCAAACAGGAUUAGAUACCCUGGUAGUCCACGCCCUAAACGAUGUCAACUAGGUGUUGGGUGGGUAAAACCAUUUAGUACCGGAGCUAACGCGUGAAGUUGACCGCCUGGGGAGUACGGCUGCAAGGUUA
rnacentral:rRNA from 1 species